CCCCUAGAUGUUCUGGGCCGCACGCGUGCUACACUGAACAGUUCAACAAGUCUUAACCUUGGCCGAUAGGUCUGGGUAAUCUUUGAACGCUGUUCGUGAUUGGGAUAGACCUUUGCAAUUAUGGGUCUUCAACGAGGAAUUCCUAGUAAACGCAAGUCAUCAGCUUGCAUUGAUUACGUCCCUGCCCUUUGUACACACCGCCCGUCGCACCUACCGAUUGAAUGGUCCGGUGAAAUCUCGGGACGGCGGCUUGGUCGCUUGCGUCCGACUGCUGAAACUUGAUUAAACCACAUCAUUUAGAGGAAGGUGAAGUCGUAACA
rnacentral:rRNA from 1 species